ACGUAUGGUGCAAGCGUUAUCCGGAUUUACUGGGUGUAAAGGGAGCGUAGGUGGCUGCGCAAGUCAGAAGUGAAAGCCCGGGGCUUAACCUCGGGACUGCUUUUGAAACUGUGUAGCUAGAGUGCAGGAGAGGUAAGUGGAAUUCCUAGUGUAGCGGUGAAAUGCGUAGAUAUUAGGAGGAACACCGGUGGCGAAGGCGGCUUACUGGACUGUAACUGACACUGAGGCUCGAAAGCGUGGGGAGCAAACAG
rnacentral:rRNA from 1 species